GUGCUUGCUUUGGCAGCAUACAUAUUAAAAUUGGAAUGAUACAGAGAAGAUUAGCAUGGUCCCUAUGCAAGGAUGACACACAAAUUUGUGAAGCAUUUCAUAUUUUU
ensembl:snRNA U6 U6 spliceosomal RNA